CGGGGAGUAGCGCAGCGGUAGCGCACCUGCUUUGGGAGCAGGAGGUCGCGGGUUCAAAUCCCGUCUCCCCGA
rnacentral:tRNA from 3 species